rnacentral:rRNA from 1 species
UAAAAAAUUUUGGCGGUAUUUUAAGCUUAUUAGAGGAAUUUGCUCUGUGAUGGAUACAACGCCUUAAUCUUACUUAAUUUAGUAAUUUAAAUCAGUUUGUAUACCACUAUAUUAAUUAUAUUGAAUAGUUAUAUUUAAAAUUUUUUUUAAAAAAUAUAUUAAGUCAAGGUGCAUCUAAUAAUUAUGAAUGAAGUGAAUUACAUUAAUUUUAAUGUAAUUUUUUACAUGAAAAAAUUAAUUAGGAUUUAAUAGUAAAAUACUAAUAUUAUGAGUAUUUGAAUCAAGCUCUAAAAUAUGCACAUAUCGCCCGUCGCUCUCAGAAGUGAGAUAAGUCGUAACAAAGUAAAAAUACUGGAAAGUGUUUUUUAAAAUGAAAUCAUUCGAUGUUUCAUUUACAAUGAAAAUUUUGUUGUUUAACCAUUUUAA